UACGGGGGGAGCAAGCGUUGUUCGGAUUUACUGGGCGUAAAGGGCGCGUAGGCGGCCAGCACAAGUCAGUUGUGAAAUCUCCGAGCUUAACUCGGAAAGGUCAACUGAUACUGUGCGGCUAGAGUGCGGAAGGGGCAACUGGAAUUCUUGGUGUAGCGGUGAAAUGCGUAGAUAUCAAGAGGAACACCUGCGGCGAAGGCGGGUUGCUGGGCCGACACUGACGCUGAGUGAGCGAAAGCCAGGGGAGCAAACGGG
rnacentral:rRNA from 1 species